CCUACGGGUGGCUGCAGUGAGGAAUAUUGGUCAAUGGGCGCUAGCCUGAACCAGCCAAGUAGCGUGAAGGAUUACUGCCCUAUGGGUUGUAAACUUCUUUUGUAUGGGAGUAAAGUGCAGUAUGUAUACUGCUUUGCAUGUACCCUAUGUAUAAGCCUCGGCUAACUCCGUGCCAGCAGCCGCGGUAAUACGGAGGAUGUGGGCGUUAUCCGGAUUUAUUGGGUUUAAAGGGUGCUGCGGUAGUUUUUUCAGUCAGCUGUGAAAGUUUGGGGCUCAACCACAAGAUUGCCGUUGAAACUGGCAGACUUGAGUGGGUGUGAGGUAGGCGGAAUGCGUGGUGUAGCGGUGAAAUGCAUAGAUAGCACGCAGAACGCCGAUUGCGAAGGCAGCUUACUGAGCCAUAACUGACGCUGAAGCACGAAAGCGUGGGGAUCAAACAGGAUUAGAUACCCCUGUAGUC
rnacentral:rRNA from 1 species